CCUAUGAGGAUGAUUAAAAUUACCCCAUUUUUUGGCGGGCUUCUUUCAUCAGUUGGUUUUCGCGCUUAACUCGGUGUUCCCGUCCGCGCUCUGUUCCUGAAUAAGAACAACACCAGAUAUGUUCGCCCCAGAUAGAUAACUGAAACGACGCGCACGGCUUGACCCCCUUUCGCCGUCCUGCUUUGGGCUCCGACCUAGAACUCUUUCCCUUUCUUUGUCUCAAAAAGUAUCUCAUUCAGACGAAGCCCUUUUGCAGACUACUCGAGCACAAACAGACAAUACUUCUCACACAGGGCUUUGUACCAUAACUUUGGUGUCAAUUGUGUGAGGAGUAGGGGUGGGAGACUGUAUUCUUACAGCUGUCUCAGCAAGUGGUCCCUGCUACGGUGAGGGAAGAAGUAGGCACGACCGUGAAGGGCUCGAGCGCCAUGUGACAUCCUGGCCAGAAACGUCAACUCGAUUGGGAUUUCAUCAUCUCCAUUGAGAAAGGGAGCCGGCCUAUCACCCGUGGACCACUAAAAUCACCACCUCUUGGUCCUUCCUCUCUCGUGUUCAGCGCAAGAUGUUCGUGGUGGGAUCUGAGAGCAAUGUGAACAACUACAGGUGCAACCCGUACAGAUGGACGUAACGUAUGAAAUGUGCUGAAUAUAUCCAUGUAUUUAGAUCCUAAUAUGUACACAUGGAAUUGCUGUAUUAAUUUGAUGCUUUUAGAACGUCUCUUCAUAAAAUCUCAAAUGCUGAAAGA